UACGGAGGAUGCAAGCGUUAUCCGGAAUGAUUGGGCGUAAAGCGUCCGCAGGUGGCACUUCAAGUCUGCUGUUAAAUACUAGGGCUUAACCCUGGAGCGGCAGUGGAAACUGAAGAGCUAGAGUUCGGUAGGGGUAGAGGGAAUUCGCAGUGUAGCGGUGAAAUGCUUAGAGAUUGGAAAGAACACCAAUGGCGAAAGCGCUCUGCUAGGCCGAAACUGACACUCAUGCACGAAAGCUAGGGGAGCGAAUGGG
rnacentral:rRNA from 1 species